GGUAUCUUUGUUGAAUAUGGCUGAGACCGUUUGGCGGGGAAAAGGUGGCAAAAUGAAGAAAUUUGCAUCGAUAAAAGCUUUUAGACCAAAUUUGCCAAACAAUAUGGUAACGUCAUUGUUGGCCCUCGAACUGCGUAAGUCCAACAGUCCACACAAAGCAUGUACUGCACUCUUCAUCUU